AUGGUUGAAGAAAAAGUAAGAGGACCAAGAAACAUUGAAGAGAUGGAGACAAGAGUCAUCAAAUUCAAUUACUUCCUACUGACUCUGUGUUAUAUGUUUGGAUUUUACUAUAUGAUCCAAGGUCUUUUGUUCUAUAGUGGAAAAUUCACUUUGCUGAAAGUGCCGAUAAUCAUUCAAGGUAUCCUGGCCAAAGCGCUCAUCAUCAUAGGCGGAAAUUGUAUUCUAAUAAUAUCUGUCGGCUGCCAUGCAAUGCGAGGACACUUGUUAUUCUUGGCUUUGCAUGCAAUCAGUUCAGUCAUCAUACUGACAGGUCUAGUGGCAAUCAGCGUAUACUUAAUGACACAACUUCUGUCGCUGAGUGAUAUCAUCUAUACUGAUAUGAGAGUGCUCAUAAAUUCCUACGAUAUGGAUCCAGUAAACAGACAUUCCAUGGAUGUAAUUCAAAAGGAGGGUAAAUGUUGCGGUUGUCGCUCGAUUGAUGACUGGCUGCCAAAAAAUGAAGUACCCUCUGCAUGUAUUGAUGCCACAUUUACAAAAAUAUAAGUUUUUCUUCGGAAAAAAAGAUAGUUUUUAGGGGAAUUUCAAAUGAUACAACGACUGCUCCCAUUCAUAGUCCUUGGAACAAUGCCAACAGGGUUUUGUCACAAAAAUGGCUGUUAUUCGUCAUACAGGCAGUUGAUUUCAAGGAAUUUAAGUAUUCUUCUUACAAUUUUUAUCCUAAAUUCUGUGCUUUUGGUAAGUUGACAUGAGAUAAUAUUUUUUUUUUUAAAUUUAAAACAUUUCUAGGAAUCUGAAAAUAGUACUUGGUUUGAGUAACUUGUAAUUCCUUAUUUGAUUCUGUGAUACAAUGAUGAAUACCAUUGGUUUAGUUCUGAAUAUUGAUGGGUACAGUCUAGAAAUGCAUACCUUCAUGCCUGCAUUUCAAAAUAUCCGAUUAUGAUUAAGUUUGUAAAAGAAGACUAAUAAUAAUAUCUCCUAAAAAUGUUCUGUAAAAAUUGUUGAAUGGGUGAGGAAAAUUAGGAGAAAAACAAAUGAUUGGUUUUCUUUAAAAAUUAAUUUGAGAUCUUGUGAUUAAAAUGGGCAGUUUUUUACUUUAGCUAUCCAUAUAUGAAUCUCAGGAAGCAUAUAUUGAAAUUUUCGUUAAUAUCUUUUCUUCUCAUCCAUUUGGGCGGUAAAUUGGUUGCGGCACUAUCCAUUUGUUGAAAAUUUCUGAAUUCAUUCAUUGUAUUAUAGGGAAUCAGCAUUUAUAUUCAGAGUUACUUUUUUGUUGAAACUGCUCUCAAAGAGGAAGAACAAUGCAUUGCAGUGGCUGAGGCUUCCAGAGAGGAACAAAGGCAAAUAGUCCGACUGAGAAACCAGUCGUCAGGAAGACUUUUUUGUUCCACUCCAACUCAAUACGACGAAUCAUUUGAAAUCGUCGAAUUCACGGAAUCGGAGGAAGAUAUAGUUUACCCAAAAUCUAAAUGGGAAAAAUUUUGGCAGACUUUCAUUGGUAGCGAGAGUCUAUUCGCUUCGAGGUACAUGUCUUCUCAAAGAAGACCUCAUAGGAGAGCCUUGGUAAGAAUUCAUAAUUUUCUUGUGUCACUAACUCAUUUUUUUUCUUGAUGCUGCCUCGGAAGGUGCUUGAGUGUUUGCUUCUGAUCAAUCAUAGGAGUACUUGAUAGUACACAGACAUGGGAUUAUAUUUUCACUUAAUGUUGUUCUAUUUUAUGGCUGACCUGCUUGUGAGGCUGUUUGAUUUUUUUACAACUCUUGAUAUGAUCAGGGUAAUGGUCUGGCUCUGGUAAUGGUUCUCGAUCAUUUCGAACAUGGAGCAUCCAUCUUGCAGAUUUGAGCAAAUAUUAAACAUGCGAAUAUAAUGGAGAUAAUGCACAAGUAAAGCAUUCAAAAUUUUCUAUUUUUGCGAGUUAAAACACCAAAUUUCAUUUUAAGUAGUUUGAGAGAAACUUUAAAAUCCAGUAAAAAGUUUUCAGUCCCUUCACUUUAAGUGAGUUACUCUCCGAUUUGAGAGCAAAAUUACAUCAGUCAGUUUAACACCCAGCUUUUUAUUGCUGGUCAGUUGAGCAACUGCAGCUUACAAAUAAUUACUUUUAGGGUUAGAAGACAGGUUCAACGAAAGUGUCUUUGAAUUUAUUUUUUUGUUUCAGAAUUCUGAGGAAAAUGAUGGGAACGACAUGGUUCACUGGAUGUACUACUUCUAGAUAACAAAAAAAGGUACCGUUUUAAACAAAAAAUAUAAUUGUGAAAUUGAUUUAUUUUAAAAUUCUUUUUUCCUCUAUCAAAUGUAUGGGAACAGAUUCUUAAUUGUAUGAACAUGUAAAGUGAACUCAAGAAAAGGAACCAAUCUGCGCUUAAAAAUAAAAACAUUCAUAUAAAAAGAUCCUUUUGGUAAAAUUGAUGUACAUGAAUUACUAUAGCUUUUAAAAUGAUGCAACAUUUUUUGUUAUUUAUUUAAAAUCGAAUAAAUUACAUUUGAUCUUUCCUGCACAGUACAUUUCUGUAAAGAAGAAGAAGAAAAUUUACACUGACCCUGAGACUAAAAUAAUUAAUUAUUCUACAAUUAAUGUGAGGCUAAAAACAAUCAUACAAACACUGAAACGUAUCGUGCAGAAAUAGAUUCUUCUUGAGGUUUUUCUAACAUUUGAAUUAUAAAUUUUCAAAAAAAUGGGUGUUGAGCAAGUUAUAUAGAGCACGGCUCUCUUACUAACGACCAGAAAUUCAGUCAAUGAUUCACAUUGAUAUUUUAUACCUGGGCCUUAGACAAGGUUCGAGUUGAGAUCUUGUCCGGAAAAAGUGUCACAUGUUUUCCCUUCAGAAUCUUACGUAGAAAUCGAUUCACAAAACAAGGAGUUAAAAAAUCAACUCCGGAACGAAAUAUUAGUAUUUUUAGCACGGAGUAAAUUCCCCACAAGAAAUUUUUAACAAAUGAUAUACUGCAACAUGCUUUAAUUCAUGCCUUGUCUAGAGGCCCAUUCAAAACAGCAUUUAGAAAAUGAGUUUACGUUCAGUCAUGACAUCAAAUAUAUAAUUUUUGGAUUGUUUCUAACUUCCCCUUCCAUUAUUUUCUUGAAUGUAACUAGUUAUCAUUAAAAGGGCACCAUGGUUUCAAACUAGGCUUUCAUUAUUUUUCAGGGAAUUUUUGAUAGCUGAGUGAAAAAACCGUUGUUAGUCUAACAGAGGUUUCAUGGAAAGACAUGGUAAUGAUGACAAUGAUACAAAAAAAAAAAAAAAAAAAAAAAAAGCAGGGUAACAUCCUUAGAUGCAAUGAAUUGGAGAAACAAGAAAAUGAUUAUUUGGAUUCUCGGGUUUUUAAUUUUUUAAUUUUCUCUUCUGUUACUAUCUUUGAAGAGGCUUAUUUUUUAAAAUAAAUUACUCAGUCCUACCUAAAAUUGUUUCUAAGAGGGUACAAUCUAAAUUAGUUUAAUUUUUUUUUAUAUCCUUCUGAAGUAGAGUCCAACCAAAUAAGUUUACUCACCUUUAGAACACUGGAGAAUUACCAAAGAGGAUCUGCCAUCAUGAUUCUUCCAUUUACUAUUGACGCUACACUGAAAACAGCUAAUUUUCUGUUGCACGCUAAAGGUGCACAAACUUAUUUUGCAUAGACUCUAAGAACAUUAACAACCAACAUUCACAUUUCAUAUGACUGCUAAAAAAGCAGGCUCUUCAAGACAAUGACCUACCGUUUGGCCCUGUGCCAAAGGGCAUUGCGAGUAAAAUUGAUUACCUAUUUUAUAAAAAAAAUUAGAAUUAGUAUCACUAAUAUUUUAGAUGCAGGGCAUCUGUUCUAUACUUCAGUGGCUCCUCCGAAAAAGUAGAUCUGGAUGAUUUUAAAGAUUUUUUACAAGUAUUCUAUCCAAAGUGUUUUAUAUACAUGCAUUUGAUAAAUGGCAAUAAAAAAAAUUCAGGUACCUGGAUCAAUUGAGAUACUAAUUAGAAUGAUAAUAAUACAUACUGUUUUGUUACUAAAUCCAAAAGGAUUGGGUAGUAAACCUUUUGGAGGGGUAUUUGUCCCUUUUUCAAGAUUUGACUUAAGGCCUCUUUUAACCUGUUUAAUGGAGCUCCACCACCCUCAGGAGAAACCUGCAAAAAUUGAGUUAAAAUUAAAAAAAAACAAAAUAACUGCACAACGUGAAAAAAGUUAUCGUUUAAGUUCAAAUCAAUGAUAAUGAAAAGAUUAAAAGGAAAUUUAGGUUUCGAGAGAAAAGAAAGUUGAUGGAAUACAAUAUAAAUAUAUCUUCUGAACCUUCUUGCAGAGCUUGCCACGUCCACGUUCAUCUGUUUGGAGCAAGAUGAAAAAAUGCAUCUGCGGUGCGGCUGCUUUUGCUGCAGUGCGCUUAUUUUAUACCUAUAUUAAGUUGGGAUUUGAUGAGUUUUGCGAAUCAACAUGUUUCCAAAUGCUCAUAACCAUAGAGCAUUUAUUUCCAGCGCUAUUUCAUUUUUAAGAAAAAAAGAAUAAGGCUGGUUUUGCAAAUGUGCUCCUCAUUGGUAGCAUGUUCUUCCUCAAUCUCAUUUUUACAAGGAACUUUGUUGGGUCAUUUAUUUCAUUUGGUGCAUUUGUAUGAAAAUAAACUUUUUUAUUAUAUAAUAAUUAGGCACUAAAGCCAAUGGAUAUCAAACCUAAUCUAACAGUACACUCAUUUUUUUGGUCGCAAAUUUCGAUUUAAAAAAUUGACUUUUUUAAAUAAUUUGUAAUCAGAGCAAUCGUUCACACCAGUCAUCUUUGUAGAAUUUAAAUUUUUGAUACAUAACUCUAAAGUCUGAGAUGGAAUGAAGAGGUUGUUUUUUUUGAAACCUGUAAAUGUGGUCGAAAAUACAGAGGAGGUUAAAUUUUUUUAAGUUAUUGAUGCAAAGAAGAGAUGAUAGACAAACUGCGACAAAGUUGAAGACAGAAAAUUCACUUACCUUUUCAAUUAACGGAAAAUAUUCUUUACAGAUAAAUGCUAAUAGCUUUUGGAAUUGUUUCUGGUAAAAUUUAGCCAUGUCAGGUCCUGCAACUUGUAUAAAAUCUAGGAGGAAUGUUGCUGUGACAUCAGGUACAGGCUCUGAAAAGUACACAAAUUAUAUUAAACACCUAUUUAUAAAUUGAGAAAGGCGAUGUUUUUCUUAAUUUGUAUUGAAUAAUGGAUAUCAUCAUUUUUAAUCAAUACAGUAAUAAAUAAAGAAAAUUGGGAGCAGGCAACUGUCCUAAGGAAAAAGGACUCGGAUAUCCGAAAUUCCAAAUUGAAAUAAUUGGGCCACAAUUUAACAGAGUGCUUCACAACAUUUCGGGGUAACAGAUACCAGACCAGAAUUAUGACGAUCAAAAAGACUCUGCGGGGAAAAUCAAAAUGAUGCGGAGCUGGCUAAAUUUGGUUACUAUUUGAUUUGAUGUUUUUUUACGACCUCCUGAGCAAGAUGAGCUUUGAAUCAUUCUUUCUAUGCACUUAUAUUGAGAGAGGCGAUGC
rnacentral:lncRNA from 1 species